UACGUAGGGACCAAGCGUUGUUCGGAUUUACUGGGCGUAAAGGGCGCGUAGGCGGCAAUUCAAGUCAUCUGUGAAAUCUCCGGGCUUAACUCGGAACGGUCAGAUGAUACUGCUUUGCUAGAGUGCGGAAGGGGCAAUCGGAAUUCUUGGUGUAGCGGUGAAAUGCGUAGAUAUCAAGAGGAACACCUGAGGUGAAGACGGGUUGCUGGGCCGACACUGACGCUGAAGCGCGAAAGCCAGGGGAGCAAACGGGG
rnacentral:rRNA from 1 species